rnacentral:rRNA from 1 species
UACGAAGGGGGCUAGCGUUGCUCGGAAUCACUGGGCGUAAAGCGCACGUAGGCGGGUCGUUAAGUCGGGGGUGAAAUCCUGGAGCUCAACUCCAGAACUGCCUUCGAUACUGGCGAUCUUGAGUCUGGGAGAGGUGAGUGGAACUCCGAGUGUAGAGGUGAAAUUCGUAGAUAUUCGGAAGAACACCAGUGGCGAAGGCGGCUCACUGGCCCGGUACUGACGCUGAGGUGACGAAAGCGGUGGGGAGCAAACAGG